UAAGCAGGCACAGCGGCUCCCAGCAGAUUCAUAGCAACAAUUCUACUUGGUGACGAUGGACCUAAAGUGCUGCCUGCUUUUCCUAUCGCUUUUGUUGGCCGGGACUUUGGCUAGCCCAGUACCAGACACGCCACGCCCAACUCUACCGCCCUGCACGCCCUGGUGUGCCGGACAGCCCCCUCCGCCACCGGGAGCAGUGAACUAAUUGUCUUGUCAUUGCGAUUGCAAUAUCAAAAAAUAAUAUUUCACAAUACCUCUAACGAGCUAGCAAGUCGAACAAAUAAAUCUGACAAUCUUAA